rnacentral:piRNA from 1 species
UCUAUAGGGACCAGUCCUUCAGGGACAGAAAC